AUGCAGUUCAUUUACAUACUACCUGGUUGGGAGGGUUCUGCACAUGAUGGUUGUGUUCUUAGAGAUGCCAUCUCAAGGCCAAAUGGGUUGCAUGUCCCUGAAGAUCAAUAUUAUCUUGUUGGUGCUGGUUACACAAAUGCGAAAGGAUUUUUAGCUCCAUACCGUGGUCAAAGGUAUCACAACCCACCUCGUAGUGCAGAGGAGUACUACAACAUGCGGCACGCCAGAGCCUGA
rnacentral:rRNA from 1 species